UACGGAGGGGGCUAGCGUUGUUCGGAAUUACUGGGCGUAAAGCGCACGUAGGCGGCUUUGUAAGUUAGAGGUGAAAGCCCGGAGCUUAACUCCGGAACUGCCUUUAAGACUGCAUCGCUUGAAUCAUGGAGAGGUUAGUGGAGUUCCGAGUGUAGAGGUGAAAUUCGUAGAUAUUCGGAAGAACACCAGUGGCGAAGGCGACUAACUGGACAUGUAUUGACGCUGAGGUGCGAAAGCGUGGGGAGCAAACAGG
rnacentral:rRNA from 1 species